GCGCUGUCGGGGAUUAUUGGGCGUAAGCGCUCGCAGGCGGUUCUUUAAGUCUGAUGUGAAAUCUUGCGGCUCAACCGCAAACGUGCAUUGGAAACUGGAGGACUUGAGUGCAGAAGAGGAGAGUGGAAUUCCACGUGUAGCGGUGAAAUGCGUAGAGAUGUGGAGGAACACCAGUGGCGAAGGCGACUCUCUGGUCUGUAACUGACGCUGAGGAGCGAAAGCGUGGGGAGCGAACAGGAUUAGAUACCCUGGUAGUCCACGCCGUAAACGAUGAGUGCUAGGUGUUAGGGGGUUUCUGCCCCUUAGUGCUGAAGUUAACGCAUUAAGCACUCCGCCUGGGGAGUACGGCCGCAAGGCUGAAACUCAAAAGAAUUGACGGGGACCCGCACAAGCGGUGGAGCAUGUGGUUUAAUUCGAAGCAACGCGAAGAACCUUACCAGGUCUUGACAUCCUUUGACCGCUCUAGAGAUAGAGUUUUCCCUUCGGGGACAAAGUGACAGGUGGUGCAUGGUUGUCGUCAGCUCGUGUCGUGAGAUGUUGGGUUAAGUCCCGCAACGAGCGCAACCCUUAAUCUUAGUUGCCAGCAUUUAGUUGGGCACUCUAAGGUGACUGCCGGUGACAAACCGGAGGAAGGUGGGGAUGACGUCAAAUCAUCAUGCCCCUUAUGACCUGGGCUACACACGUGCUACAAUGGACGGAACAAAGGGAAGCGAACCCGCGAGGUCCAGCAAAUCCCAUAAAACCGUUCUCAGUUCGGAUUGCAGGCUGCAACUCGCCUGCAUGAAGCCGGAAUCGCUAGUAAUCGCGGAUCAGCAUGCCGCGGUGAAUACGUUCCCGGGUC
rnacentral:rRNA from 1 species